rnacentral:rRNA from 1 species
UACAGAGGUCUCAAGCGUUGUUCGGAUUCAUUGGGCGUAAAGGGUGCGUAGGCGGCGCGGUAAGUCGGGUGUGAAAUUUUGAGGCUUAACUUCGAAACUGCAUUCGAUACUGCCGUGCUUGAGGACUGGAGAGGAGACUGGAAUUUACGGUGUAGCGGUGAAAUGCGUAGAUAUCGUAAGGAAGACCAGUGGCGAAGGCGGGUCUCUGGACAGUUCCUGACGCUGAGGCACGAAGGCCAGGGGAGCAAACGGG